GAUGAACGCUGGCGGCGUGCCUAAUACAUGCAAGUCGAGCGAACAGACGAGGAGUUUGCUCCUCUGACGUUAGCGGCGGACGGGUGAGUAACACGUGGAUAACCUACCUAUAAGACUGGGAUAACUUCGGGAAACCGGAGCUAAUACCGGAUAAUAUAUUGAACCGCAUGGUUCAAUAGUGAAAGACGGUUUUGCUGUCACUUAUAGAUGGAUCCGCGCCGCAUUAGCUAGUUGGUAGGGUAACGGCUUACCAAGGCAACGAUGCGUAGCCGACCUGAGAGGGUGAUCGGCCACACUGGAACUGAGACACGGUCCAGACUCCUACGGGAGGCAGCAGUAGGGAAUCUUCCGCAAUGGGCGAAAGCCUGACGGAGCAACGCCGCGUGAGUGAUGAAGGUCUUCGGAUCGUAAAACUCUGUUAUUAGGGAAGAACAAAUGUGUAAGUAACUAUGCACGUCUUGACGGUACCUAAUCAGAAAGCCACGGCUAACUACGUG
rnacentral:rRNA from 1 species